CCAGCCAACAUGAGUCUGUUUGGAACAACCUCUGGUUUUGGGACUGGUGGGACCAGCAUGUUUGGGAGCACAACCACAGAUAACCAUAACCCAAUGAAGGAUAUUGAAGUAACGUCUUCUCCUGAUGACAGCAUCGGUUGUCUGUCUUUCAGCCCACCAACCUUACCAGGGAACUUCCUUAUUGCAGGAUCGUGGGCUAAUGAUGUAAGUGCUUCUCGGGCAGCUGCCAUGUGGGCAAGGCUAGCUUUCCCUUCAGCUCCAUUCUGUCUGAGUGAACUGAGGGUAAGGCUUGUGCCUGGUCCUUUGUAAGACAUGGUGUAGAAACUGCAUCCUUCUGAAUGGCAGCACCAUAGCCAGGCACUGUCCAAAGCUUCCCUGUACCUGACUCAGCUGCAC
rnacentral:lncRNA from 1 species